rnacentral:rRNA from 1 species
GACGAACGCUGGCGGCGUGCUUAACACAUGCAGGUCGAACGGAAAGGCCCUGCUUUUGUGGGGUGCUCGAGUGGCCAACGGGUGAGUAACACGUGAGUAACCUGCCCUUGACUUUGGGAUAACUUCAGGAAACUGGGGCUAAUAGCGGAUAGGAGCUCCCGCCUCAUGGUGGGGGUGGGAAAGUUUCGGCGGUUGGGGAUGGACAUGCGGCUUAUCAGAUUGGUGCUGGGGUAGUGGAUUACCAAGGCUUUGACCGGUGGCAGGCCUGAGCGGGUGACCGGCCACAUUGGAACUGAGCUGCGACCCAGACUCCUACGGGAGGCAGCAGUGGGGAAUAUUGCACAAUGGGAGGAGGCCUGGUGCAACCAAGCCGCGUGCGGGAUGACGGCCUUCGGUUUGUAAACCACUUUCGCCUGUGACGAAGCGUGAGUGACAGUAAUGGGUAAAGAAGCACCGGCUAACUCCGUG